rnacentral:rRNA from 1 species
UAAACUAGGAUUAGAUACCCUAUUAUUAAAAAUGUAGAUUUAAAAAUGCUUAAUUAGUAUUAGUUAUGUUCUUGAAAAUUAAAAAAUUUGGCGGUAUUUUAGUCUUUUCAGAGGAACCUGUUCUAUAAUUGAUAGUCCACGAUUAGAUAAACUUUAUUUAAUAGUUUACAUAUCGUCGUAGUUAAAAUAUUUUAAUAGAAUUAUAAAUAUUUAAAUUUUUUUAUUGAAAAAUAAAUCAGAUCAAGGUGUAGUUUAUAAUAAAGAAGAAAUGGGUUACAAUAAAUUUAUUUAAGGAUAAUUUUUAUUAAAAGAAAUUUGAAUUUGGAUUUGAGAGUAAUUUUUUAGAUUUUUUUAAGAUGAUUUAAGCUCUAAAAUAUGCACACAUCGCCCGUCGCUCUUAA